UACGAGGGGUGCAAGCGUUGCUCGGAUUUAUUGGGCGUAAAGGGUAGGUAGGUGGUCUCAUUUGUCUGGGGUGAAAGCCUUGAGCUUAACUCAAGAAGUGCCCCGGAAACGGUGAGACUAGAGUCUUGGAGAGGGUCGUGGAAUUCCCGGUGUAGCGGUGAAAUGCGUAGAGAUCGGGAGGAACACCAGAGGCGAAGGCGGCUUCCUGGACCGACACUGACGCUGAGGCGCGAAAGCUAGGGGAGCAAACGGG
rnacentral:rRNA from 1 species